rnacentral:rRNA from 1 species
UACGUAGGGUGCGAGCGUUAAUCGGAAUUACUGGGCGUAAAGCGUGCGCAGGCGGUUGGUUAAGUCUGAUGUGAAAGCCCCGAGCUCAACUUGGGAAUGGCAUUGGAAACUGGCUGGCUAGAGUGUGGCAGAGGGGGGUGGAAUUCCGAGUGUAGAGGUGAAAUUCGUAGAUAUUCGGAAGAACACCAGUGGCGAAGGCGACUUACUGGACACAUAUUGACGCUGAGGUGCGAAAGCGUGGGGAGCAAACAGG